CGUUUGGAGUUUCUUACUGCUGGCCUCCCGAGCUCUGUGCCUCUGCAGCAGCUCUUUGACCGUGGUCUUUACCCGGACGCCUUGGUACACCCUUGGCUUUUCUGCACAAAAAGACCACCUGCAUGCGUCAGUCCAGUUUACCAAACACUCCCCACUGAGCACACAUCCGCACACCCAGCCUUCUAUCUCUCACCACCCCCCAAGCAAAGUAAGCCUAGUCCCUAAUGAGAUUAAACAAUUAUAUAAUCUUUUAUUUGGUAGUGUAAAAAUAUGUUUGAAAACCAUAUUUAAAUUAUUCGUUCAUUUUAAAGUUUUCUUUGUGUAAAAACGCAUUCAGCCUGCUCGAUGCGCGCUCUGCACGCUGAACCUCCCCUCUGCGCUCCCGGCUCACAGCUCAGGUUGUCGGCGUUUCUUCCUCUACGCCCCUCUUCCGAGUCUCAGACCUCAUGCGCUUUUCUGAUCUUUCGAAUUGCCCAAUCCGCGCAGGAAGAAAAGAAAGGAAUAUAAAUCGGCCCUAAAUGCUGCAAAAGACAAAAGCUGAAAAGCGAAUAUCCCAACAGAAAUCUAAGGCACAACUCACCAGACAUGAUGGCUGAGAUGAGGAGAUGAUCCCUGGAGAAGACCUUUGGAUCUCCACAACGUUACGUUCUGCCUCAGCAAAAUGGCCAAGAACGAAAUUUCUACAAAAGUCUCUAAAAACAACAAGUCAAAUGUGUUCCACUGGGCUCAGAGCAUACAACAAUAUUGUAAUAAAGCUGGGGAAAUAUUAGUUUGAGAUUUUCUCCCUCCAUGCCUACUAUUUAAAACCCCUAGAACUCAAUGAUUUGACAAUGAUUUGAUUGCGCGUUACUUACAAUUUGAAUAUUCAGAAGCAACGCUCUCAAAUCGAUUUUUCAAUACAAAUAACUUGUGAAUGUCUUUAUAAAAGCCUUACUUUAAUCUAAUAUAUUAGUAUUUUAUACAUUGCUGCUAAAAAAGCAUUAUUUUAUCAAUUUUAAGCUCCUUUUGACAUAUCAGAGCACAUCAGCCCUCAUUACACACAUCAGCUCUAAAUGUUGCUUUUUACGCACUUUUAAAAGCGAAUUCUACCCCAAAUCUGAUCUCACACGUCCACGAAUGGACCAUACACAUCAGAAAUGUGUGAAAUUUUAUUAAAAAUGUUUUUUGGGGAAAAAAAAACGCUUAAAAGUGGGAAAGAAGGGGGCGUGGCAAAGGGCAGCAGCCAUCUUUGCCAUCACAGGCCUUGAGCUGCUGCAGCCAGUGGUCCCAGUGUUCUCACCUGCUGCAGGAGGGAACACUCAGCAGCUCUGCGUUUCAAUGAAAUAUUUUAUUUUUAUUUUAGUGAAAAACAAUAUUAAAUCUGUAUAUUUAUCUCGUGGAGACACUACGGCAACGCUUUCCUUAUUUUGCAACAAAUUCCUUCCUUGAUCAUAUAUUAGGUGAUUUAUAAUUGAAAUAUUGAUCUUAUAAAAUCGCAAAUAAAAUGGUAAAAAUAAAUAAAAAUAAAUCCAAAACAAUUUACCUUUUGUUUGUUCAUUUCAUAAUUCUUUAUGUGUUUAAAAUUAAGAGCCUGUUGUUUGCAUUUAUAUAAAUUAAUUUAACAAAUAUUAUGACUAAUUUAUUAUAGUUUUAAUGGUUUACAAUAAUUUCCCAAAAUUCCCUAAGCUGGUCAAAAUUAAACUCUGAUUUCUUUUAUAUUAUAAAUAUUGUAAUCAUCAUAACUGUUGCCAUAGCAAAUCUUUCAUUAAAAUACUAGUUAUUAUUUCUCUUUAUUAAUUAUGAAGAAAUUUCAAAUGACAGAAAAAUAUUUUUUAUCGUUUAAAUGCCAUCUUUUUUUGUCUCCAGUCCUCAUCAUAAAGUCCCCUCCUCACUCUGCUCCAAACAGCGUCCCAGCUCUCUCCAGCUCUGCACAACCCGUCUUGAUUCCUCUGGUGGCACAGUAGCCCCACCUAGUGGGCACAUAUCUGAACUCUAGCAGGGUUUUUCCCAGAGCAUAAAUGCAGAGACUAAAAUCUUUUUUUCCCUGUUACAUUUGAAUCAUGAAGUGAAUCGUGAUAAUGGCACCUCUUAGUUGGGUAUAUUAGGAGACAAGAGAAUACAAGUUGAAGUUUUAUAAGCAGAAUGAUGUGCACAAGAGUUUGAGCAAGUUUGAUGAAGACCCUAUAUGAAUGGGUUGAAACAUCCCCAAAACUGUGGCUCUUUUGGGGUUUUCCCAGGCUUCAGAGGUCAGAAUCUCUCAAAAGUGGUACACGGAAGGAACAGAGUUAAAUCAGCAACAGACCAAGUGUGUGGUCCAGUCUAAUAGACGAGCUAUGUGAAGCUGCUAAGUUCAUGCUUUUCCUGACAGCAAGUUGUCAGAAUACACAGUUAAAUAAUGGCUGGGGGCCUGUGGGGAGCACAUGGUACCAAGAUGCACUGUGUGAAGAAAGCAAGCAGCUAAAGCACUGUGAUUCUUUUGGCAAUGUGCCGCUGGGAAACUGUGGGUCCUCGCAUCCGUGUUGAUGUUAUUUUGACACAUAUCCCAUAGCUAAGCAUUGUUGCCAACCAUGUGCACCUUUUCAUGGAAAUGCGUUUCCUGAUGGCUGUGGCCUCCUUCAGCAGGAUGAUACACCGUACCAUGAAGCAAAAAUGGUUCAGGGUAUGGUUUAAGAAGCAGAACAAUGAGUUUGAGGUGUUGACUUGCAAUCCAAAUGUUCCACACUUCAUUCCACACUCAAACAAUUCUAAACCAUGGAGGCUCGACCUCCCAAUUUAUGGGACUUAAAAGGUAUGCUGCAAACAUCUUGGUGCCAAAGUGAACAUUCAGGGUUUCUGUGUCCUGAGACGUUGGGCUGCUUUGGCAGCAAAAGGGAGACAGCAAACUAUUAGGCAUGUUGCCAUAAUACUAUGUCUAAUCUGUUUAAAUAUAGGAUGCAAUUUUAUUAACAUGUAGACAGUCAGAGAGUUGAGAUGUACAUCACUUCAUAAAAGAAAAACAACUCCUACAAAAACAUUCAGGUGGCUUGGAUCAACAGGUGGUACCUGUGUGACCAUGUUCAGGACAAACUCCAUGUUUUAAAAAAAGUAUCUAUUGUGUGAGGUCAGUUAGUGAGACUGCAGAGAACUCUGUAGUGUGAACAUGUCACAAAAAACGUUCCUACAACUGUUCUGUUACAGCAUCUUCUUCUGAUUUCAGAACAGUCAUGACAGGUGGGGCUGAUUAAGGACGCAUGCUUCCAUAUUCUGGCAAACUGUUCAGAAUAUCUAAGGAAUGCCAGGAGAAAUUUCAGACAAUAGGAAUAAAACGUGUAACAAACUGCACAAAGACUUGAGAGAAGAAUACUGAUAAAACAAGAAUAAACCAAGAGGCAGAAAAACGACUAAUAAAAAAGCAGGAAACAUUAUCGCAUUCUGUACCAGCAAAGCCGACCUAAGGUCAGAGUGAUGUGAGCUGUUACUGAGGAACCACCUAAAGGCACUUGGCACCUAAAAAGGAUACAUAUCUAAAGUUUUUUAAAUUGUAGUUACGUUUCUUAAAAUUUAAGCAACUUUCAAACUCGGUCAGUUGUUUGUCCAUAUAAGGACAUUCUUCAUAGCUUCACAGUUUUGUCAAAUAUCAUAAUUCAGAAUUGCUAUUUUAAUCAUUUCUGCUGUUUGUGUCUGCACAUGAAAACUGAUCAAUAAAUAAAUGGCAAUGUUCCACUUGUUCUUGCAGGUAUACCUAAAUUAAUUGCCCUCUCCUUCUCAAUUCUGAGGAGUCUGCACUGAACAGCUGAAGUCCUGACAUAGACUACCAGACCAAAUUGAUCCAAAUUUGCUGAACCCCGGAAACCUCUUACCAAGCUUCUGAUGACAGUUACUCUACACUGGACAAACUACUGUCAAGUUGCCUCACCUCCCUAACAAGGUUUGAAACUGCCUGGCCGCUCUCCAACAUUCUACGGAUCCUGUACUUCGACCUUGUCACCGUCAAACUCACCACACGGACCACUCCCCUCAAACCAAGGCAAGAAACCACACCGACAAACCGUAAGCUCUAACCAGCUCAACUCAAGAUCUCAAACAAUUCCAUACUGACCACAUGAACUAAGCCUUCUCUCACAAAACACCUGAUUCCCAUUUCCAGAAUUGAGUGAUUUUCCCGUCAUUCUCAAUAAACCUUGUUUGAAAACGUUU